rnacentral:rRNA from 1 species
GACGAACGCUGGCGGCGUGCUUAACACAUGCAAGUCGAGCGGUAAGGCGCCUUCGGGAGUACACGAGCGGCGAACGGGGGAGUAACACGCGAGUAAGCUGCCCUUCACGUCGGGGGAAACACCGGAAACAGUGGCGAAUACCCAAGACAACCAGUCGUCGCAGGAGGGGCUGGUGGAAAGUCUUUACGGUGAAGGAUGGGCUGGCGGCCUAUCAGCUUGUUGGUGGGGUAAUGGCCUACCAAGGCGUCGACGGGUAGCCGGCCUGAGAGGGUGCCCGGCCAGACUGGGGCCGCGACACGGCCGAGACUCCGCCGGGAGGCCGCCGGGGGGAAUCUUGGACAAUGGUUGGACGCCUGAUCCAGCAACGACGCGGGAGUGCUGACGGCAUUCGGGUUGUAUACCUCUUGCAGUACCGUCGAAGCGGCCUGUCGGGUAGUGACGGUAGCUACAGAAGAAGGACCGGCUAACUACGUG